UACGUAGGGACCAAGCGUUGUUCGGAUUUACUGGGCGUAAAGGGCGCGUAGGCGGCGUGGUAAGUCACUUGUGAAAUCUCUGAGCUUAACUCAGAACGGCCAAGUGAUACUGCUGUGCUUGAGUGUGGAAGGGGCAAUCGGAAUUCUUGGUGUAGCGGUGAAAUGCGUAGAUAUCAAGAGGAACACCUGAGGUGAAGACGGGUUGCUGGGCCAACACUGACGCUGAGGCGCGAAAGCCAGGGGAGCGAACGGG
rnacentral:rRNA from 1 species